GAUGAACGCUAGCGGCAGGCCUAAUACAUGCAAGCUGAACGGCAAGAUUGGUAGCAAUACUGAUCCUAGAGUAGCGUAAGGGUGCGUAACACGUAUGCAAUCUACCCGCAACAGGAGGAUAGCUCUCCGAAAGGGGAAUUAAGACUCCAUAAUAUCAUUUGAGGGCAUCUGAAGAUGAUUAAACUACAAGGGGUUGUGGAUGAGCAUGCGUCUGAUUAGUUAGUUGGCGGGUAACGCCACCAAGACAAUGAUCAGUAGGGGAACUGAGAGGUUGGUCCCCACACUGGCACUGAGAUACGGGCCAGACUCCUACGGGAGGCAGCAGUAGGGAAUAUUGGACAAUGGGUGCAAGCCUGAUCCAGCCAUGCCGCGUGCAGGAAG
rnacentral:rRNA from 1 species